GAGGAAAGGAUCCCUCAAGGGCAGGAAGUGGAUGUCUAUAUUCAACAUCGGAGGACGAUUCCAAGACCCACGGCGGAGGCACAAACACUCGGCUAAAGGUAGAAAACCUUCACAUGAAAAAUGAUUGGUAAUAACUCCUCCUCUGGUCCUUUUCUCUACUUCUACAAAUAGCUACGAUUUUUUUUAUGGUCAUUCUAAUCACUUCCCUGUGUUUUACUAUUUAUAUGUUGAAUGGAACAACAGAUUUUUCACCUUCCUGAGAUACAAGCUGUUGGCCUCCGUUUCAGACAGUACAUUUAAAGUUUCUGUGUCAUCAGUUUCCACAGCCUCGUCUCCCUCUCGCUCUCAUCCCAUUCACGUAGGUCUUUAAAUUAUUUUUUCUGUUUCUGUUUCAGAGAAAGACAGGACUGCUUUGAGAUCAGCAAGAAGCAUGGACUCCCUCAGUACCCAGUCAUAUCCAAAUGAAGGCUCCGGACAGGCUCCUGCCCAGACCCCUCCCACAACCAACAUGUCUCCCCUCGCCAGCCCCUCCCUGCAGCCGGGCUCAGACGCUGCGGUAUCUGCCAGUGGAAUCGGUGGCAGUGAAUAUGCUGUGACGUACCGCAGGGGAACGGGAUUAGUAAUUGGGGGGACCCAGGGCACCUACACUUCUCUUGACCCUGAGGGUCUAGGGGGCAAAGGCAAUGAGACUGUCCAGUCCAGAUCCCCGGGACUCUCCACUAAAACAGCACGAAGAGCAGCCAUGCACAUCACAGGGCCCACCAUGGUUACCGUGCCACUACACAUAACCUCGAACCUGGCGUUGGGAUUGCUGCAAGGCGGAGGGACCGGCCGGGUCAUCCAUCGUGGCAGGGAUAAGGAUGGAGGGGACAGGGUGGAAGGAAAGGAGGGAGAGGGCAAGGUGGAGAGGAAGGAAAGCAAAGAGAUGGAACGGAAGGUGGAGGGAGGCAGGAAGGUUAGGGAAGAGGAGACAGGCAAGGAAAGAGGCGUGGACGUGGAGGCGAACACGGUGGCGGAAGGUGGUGUCGCCAAGGAAAAGGGUGAAGGAGUAAAGUGGGAGAAGGAAGAGGAGGUGAAGGCAGAUUGUAGAAAGAAGCCGGAGCUGGCGAAGGGAGGUCGAGGUGAGUCCAGAGAGCAACGAGCCAAAAGCCUCAACUCCAACACGGAUAAUGAAGAUGCAGCAGAUAAUGACCAACAAGACGACGGCAACCAAGACUACAUAGUCAUGAAAAUGGUGGAACCAGUUCAUCCACCGCCAGCGGCGACUGGGCCUGGAGAUGUUGGUGCGUUUGACGCCUCUGACAUCCUCAACUCAACUGAGGUGGGAGGAGACGACCAGGAGCUGUUUGGCUACGUUCAAGAUAACUUUGAAUUCCUGGACCACAUGGACUGCAGCGUCUCCUAUCAGGUGAACGAGUUCUCCGUCGAGCCCCCCGGUCACUCGGACGAUGAGUAUGAAGUCAUGGUGCAAGCUCAGGAUCCCGCAGAGCUGCAGACGCACCUGCUGCCAGUCCCUGAAACACAAACCCAGAGUCAGACCGGCCUGAAACCACACAGGCCGCUCAGCCUCGACCUUCACAGCCGACACACUAAAUCCCUCAGCUUGCCCUAUAUGACCUCACCUGUCCGCGGACCGGAGGAGUCGAGCUCUGAAGAGGAGGAUGUGGGAGACGACAGUGACGAUGAUGAGGAUUAUGUUAACAGUAGUGAGGAAGACGGGAGCAUGCUUGUAAAAAGCCUCCCCGCUGAUUUCUUUUUGGACAAUAUGACCAAAUUUGAUCUAGACACCGAACUUGCUGUUUAUGAAUCGAAGAGCUCGGUGGAGAGAGACGUUGAGACGUCGCACUCUGCAGAACCAACCGCUGGAGAUCAGGAGCGAGGAGAAGUGGUGGUCGAAGAAGAUGAAGAGGAAAAGCAGAUGAUGAAGAAGGAAGAGGAAGAUACACGUGAUAAGCAGGAAGACCAACCAGAAAAACAUAUCAUAGCAGCAGAGGCAGAUGUCAACAUCAUGGAAGACGUUCAAAGUGACAAAGAAAAGCCUCCUGCAUCCUGCUGCGAGGAGUUUCCACCGCCAAGCAACGAGAAGACGAAUGAUGAAUUGUGCGCUGUCGAGGUUGAGGAAGAGGAAGAGGAGGAGGAGGAGGAAGAGGAAGAGGAGGAGGAGGAGGAGGAGGAGGAAGAUGAGGAGGAGGUGGAGGAGGAGGAGGAGGAGGAAGUGGUUGAUAAUCAUCACACUGAUUAUCCACCUUGCCACACAGAGUCCUGUGCCACCUGGGAGACUGACGGUGUUCCGGUAGAGGAGUCCAGAGAACAUCCCAGAACCUGUGAUGGAGAGGAUACAAAAGAGAGACGCAAUGAGGAGGGAGAGGACAGCGGGGCGUACAAAGAGGCAGAGACAACAAGUCAAGAAAUGGUCCUGGAGAUGAAAGAAAGGGAUGAGAGCGUGUUGGAAGAUCACACCGCAAGAGGAGACGAAGGAAUAGCUGACAAAAAAGAUGAAGAGAAGAUGCAGGAAGGUGGCGAAGAGCAGGAUGGUGUAAUUUGUGGCGUGGAACUUUGGGAGGAACUUGAGAAGGUUGUAUGUGAAGUGAUAGAGGAUGAGGAGAGUGAGCGGGUUGAGAUUGAGCUUGCUGCUCGGCAGGGAGAUGUAGAUAAAGAUGGAGAGGGGGAAAAGCAGAGAGCAACGGUUUCAGGAGAAAAAAAAGUGGAUGUGGAGGAAGGAGGGACAAAUGAGACAAAGGUUAGAAUAGAGGCAGGGGAGCGUUCAAAGGAGACGACUGAGGAAAAGCUCACAGGCCCAGAGAUGCUCCAGGAGUUUCGGGAAAAAGAGAAACUACAAGAAGCAAUUCAAGUGAAGCACGCAGUGAGCGAAGAGGCACGGCAUCAUGACAGAAAGGUGGUUACAGAAGAGCCAGAGAAGGAGAACGAUGAUGAAGAGAGAGCUGACGAGCAACUCAGAACAAGGCCAAGUGUAGAUAAACAACUGGAGGAGGCCAGGUCCGAUGGAAAACAACUAAUGUGUGAGAAGCGCGGCAUCAGCCAAGGAGGAGUCGGCAGGAAGCUGGUUGUCUCCAAACACCCGAAGGUUUACCAGGCGAGAGCUGUGCCAGUGGUGCCCCCGAAGCCUCAGCACUGCAAGAUCACCGCCAUGACCCUCCGACAGCAGCAGCACCAAAGAGAGAUGAGAGGCGGCGGAGGAGACAACGCCAUGAAAGUGGCGACAGAGCAGGACAAAGUUUGUGAAGCAGGACAGGGGAAAGAUGGAGGAGGGGAGAGGAUGAGGGAGAGGAGGAGGGAUGGUGAGGAUGGUGCCACGAGGGACGCGAGCAGAAACAGUCCUCUCAGCAUGUGUUUCGACGAGGCCGUCGCCAAAGCAACCAUGAGGCGGGAAAAGGAGAGGGAGUGCGAGAAGGAGAAGGAGAGGCAGAGGGACUGGGGAAGUGAAGUGCAAUGA
rnacentral:lncRNA from 1 species